rnacentral:rRNA from 1 species
AUUGAACGCUGGCGGCAGGCCUAACACAUGCAAGUCGAGCGGAUGAAGGGAGCUUGCUCCUGGCUUCAGCGGCGGACGGGUGAGUAAUGCCUAGGAAUCUGCCUGGUCGUGGGGGAUAACGUCCGGAAACGGGCGCUAAUCCCGCAUACGUCCUGAGGGAGAAAGUGGGGGAUCUUCGGACCUCACGCUAUUAGCUGAGCCUAGGUCGGAUUAGCUAGUUGGUGGGGUAAAGGCCUACCAAGGCGACGAUCCGUAACUGGUCUGAGAGGCUGAUCAGUCACACUGGAACUGAGACACGGUCCAGACUCCUACGGGAGGCAGCAGUGGGGAAUAUUGGACAAUGGGCGAAAGCCUGAUCGAGCCAUGCCGCGUGUGUGAAGAAGGUCUUCGGAUUGUAAAGCACUGUUAGUUGGGAGGAAGAGCAGUAAGUGAAUACCUGGCUGUUUUGACGGUACCAACAGAAUAAGCACCGGCUAACUUCGUG